AUUGAACGCUGGCGGCAGGCCUAACACAUGCAAGUCGAGCGGGGUUUUCGGACCUAGCGGCGGACGGGUGAGUAAUGCGUAGGAAGCUACCCGAUAGAGGGGGAUACCAGUUGGAAACGACUGUUAAUACCGCAUAAUGUCUACGGACCAAAGUGUGGGACCUUCGGGCCACAUGCUAUCGGAUGCGCCUACGUGGGAUUAGCUAGUUGGUGAGGUAAUGGCUCACCAAGGCGAUGAUCCCUAGCUGGUUUGAGAGGAUGAUCAGCCACACUGGAACUGAGACACGGUCCAGACUCCUGCGGGAGGCAGCAGUGGGGAAUAUUGGACAAUGGGCGCAAGCCUGAUCCAGCCAUGCCGCGUGUGUGAAGAAGGCCUUCGAGUUGUAAAGCACUUUCAGCGAGGAGGAAGGGGUGAGUGUUAAUAGUACUCAUCUUUGACGUUACUCGCAGAAGAAGCACCGGCUAACUCUGUGCCAGCCGCCGCAGUAACAC
rnacentral:rRNA from 1 species